UACGAAGGGGGCGAGCGUUGUUCGGAAUUACUGGGCGUAAAGGGCGCGCAGGCGGCUCUGAAAGUCAGAUGUGAAAGCCCCGGGCUUAACCUGGGAAUUGCAUUUGAUACUCUGGAGCUUGAGUACGGGAGAGGAGAGUGGAAUUCCCAGUGUAGAGGUGAAAUCCGUAGAUAUUGGGAAGAACACCGGUGGCGAAGGCGGCUCUCUGGACCGUAACUGACGCUGAGGCGCGAAAGCGUGGGGAGCAAACAGG
rnacentral:rRNA from 1 species